rnacentral:rRNA from 1 species
GACGAACGCUGGCGGCGUGCUUAACACAUGCAAGUCGAACGGAAAGGCCCCUUUGGGGGUCCUCGAGUGGCGAACGGGUGCGUAACACGUGAGUAACCUGCCCUUGACUUCGGGAUAACUUCAGGAAACUGGGGCUAAUACCGGAUAGGAAUCCUUGCUGCAUGGGGGGGGUUGGAAAGAUUCUGCGGUUUUGGAUGGACUCGCGGCUUAUCAGCUUGUUGGUGGGGUAGUGGCUUACCAAGGCUUUGACGGGUAGCCGGCCUGAGAGGGCGACCGGCCACAUUGGGACUGAGAUACGGCCCAGACGCCUACGGGAGGCAGCAGUGGGGAAGAUUGCACAAUGGGCGGAAGCCUGAUGCAGCAACGCCGCGUGCGGGAUGACGGUCUUCGGGUUGUAAACCGGUUUCAGCAGGGGCGAAGCUUGUGGUGACGGUACCUGCAGAAGAAGCACCGGCUAACUACGUG